UCCAUACUCCCUAGGCUCGAAUUGCUGAAGAGCCAACGUAUGGACAGAUUCCAAGCAGGCUUGAUAGCUAUAUAGUCAGGUGAUUGCCGAACUUAGUGUUUGUUGCUGGAAAAAAGUAGCUUAGCAAGGUAACGUCUUAAUGUUUAAGUAGACAACUAACGUUAAGUGAAAGCUGCGCAUAACUACCUAACGUUUAUUAGCUAAAUAAUUAGCCAUGUAAAUUACGUUAUCAUUUGAACCAAGCCAACUUAUAACGUUAAUGAAUGGAUAUAAUGGUGUAGCCAACGUCAAUGUAAGUUUUUUGUGUUUUGUAACAGUUUCAACGUAAUAUAGGCCUACACGUUUAUAUGCAAUGAUUUGUUCUUGAUAUUCAUUUUUAUAAGAUAAUAGAAACAUAUUUCAUUAUCAUAAAUAUUUAGCUAAAUAGUUGCUGUAGCCAGAUAGCAGUGGCGACUGCUGGUCUUUAAAAGAGGGGAAGCUCAUUUUCGGCCUACAUUAUAACCUUCUGAUGGUCUUCAUUUGUAGUGACACUCGGGGUCUUUGGUGUCUUUUGGACCCCAGACAAUAACAUUUAAUUUUGUAACAGAACAAUUGUUUUUUUUUACAAAUAUAAUUUUACUCUGUUUAUUAAUGUCUUCGCUUAAAUCAGGUCGACAAUAUUAGCACGGUCUGCCAUCGUGCGCAGUUUCACCUGCGUACGACGCUAGCCUAGUCUACUACUGUUUAUGAAUGAAUGAAUGAAUGAAUGAACUAUCUAAAAAAUAUAUAUUAAACUUUGUAAAACUGAAACAAGGAUUGUGGUGUUGCCUAUAAUUGUGUGAAAUGUAUGAUGCAAAUCGGCUAGCAAUUUCACCAAACAAAUAUCUCCCCUGGGCCCGUGUCCCCAACCCACACCCUCCAUCUGCACUGCCAGAACCCACCAUGAACACAUCCCUGUCUUCAUAUCCAGGACCUGACAGAACCAGGUCAGUGGUCAAAGUACAGGAUCCAUUACAAAACUUUAAGCAUGCAUCCCUCUUCUGUUCCUUUACUGAAACGAUUAGUGGUUUAACUAGAUGUCCUCUGUUUGAGUGAUGAGUGGUAGUUUGAACAGGCCUCCUGUUACUUUUAGUAAAGCAAUCAUUGUUUUGGAUGUGUCACGAAUACACAGAGGUUUCUCAUAAGCAGAGUUCAGAGAUGUUUGGUAAUGUAUUUGAAAGUGACAGCAGAGGCCUAUUUCAAUCUCUGUAUAAACAACAAGGUUGUAUUCUACCCCACGCAGAUUCCCAGAUGUACCACCACCAUGCCUUUGACAGCUGUACCAUGCCCCCUCUUCCCAGCAAGGACAAAUGGAGAAAACACAGACAACUGCAUUACCUCAAGGCCUGUAAUGCUUUGGUUGAUGAAGUGGAGACAUAAUCCACUGGCCCCUUAAACAGCCUGGCAGAGGAGAGCUGCAGCUCUAGACAAGCCAGCAGAAUAGAACCCUGGAAACAUGGGAGAGGGCCUCAAACACACUCAGUACUGGAGAUGAAUGGCAGACAAGCUCCAGAUGACCCAUGUUAUGCUGUGGGAGUCUCAUCCCAUGCCCUCCUUCGCUGCCAGAACACACCUUAAACACCUCCUGGGACAUGCCGCUUCCCACAAAUUAACCUGAUUCGGGACAGGUGGAGCUGACUGGAUCGCAAAGGUGACAAGUUGCACCUGGGUUUGGGACCAACUAGAAGAUGAAUGUUCCUGGUGCCCAUUCCUGGCUCUCCCCCCCCCACAAGGACCAUGUGGUUUUGUGAAUUGGUUGAUUUGUGUUGUGAUUAGGUGCACCCAUCAACACUUACACAUUUUACACUCACCCAGGCAUCUCCACUCAUAUGCCUACUUUCACACUUCACAGGUCAGUUUUUCUUCGUAGUCCCCUAGUUUGUGUUACAUUUCCUAGUUCUCUGUUGUUUUUGUUUGUACGUGUGGGUGUUCUGGUCCGUGUCUCCUCUUCACAGGUGGCAUACACCGCGGGCAUACAUCACCCGUAGGGUUCUGAAUGUCUAUAGACUAGGUAAGAUCUGGGCGGACCACUCCCUGUAUUUUGGUUAGCGUGUCAGUUGGCGCUUCGUUAGGUAAGUAGCACGUAGGUAGGUAAGAUAGGUAG
ensembl:lncRNA